ACCCAGACUCCUACGGGAGGCAGCAGUGGGGAAUAUUGCACAAUGGGGGAAACCCUGAUGCAGCGACGCCGCGUGAGCGAUGAAGUAUUUCGGUAUGUAAAGCUCUAUCAGCAGGGAAGAAAAUGACGGUACCUGAAGAAGAAGCCCCGGCUAACUACGUGCCAGCAGCCGCGGUAAUACGUAGGGGGCAAGCGUUAUCCGGAUUUACUGGGUGUAAAGGGGGCGCAGACGGCGAUGCAAGCCAGGAGUGAAAGCCCGGGGCCCAACCCCGGGACUGCUCUUGGAACUGCGUGGCUGGAGUGCAGGAGGGGCAGGCGGAAUUCCUGGUGUAGCGGUGAAAUGCGUAGAUAUCAGGAGGAACACCGGUGGCGAAGGCGGCCGCCCGGACUGUAACUGACGCUGAGGCACGAAAGCGUGGGGAGCAAAUAGGAUUAGAUACCCCAGUA
rnacentral:rRNA from 1 species